CGCGGAGUAGCGCAGCCCGGUAGCGCAUUAGGCUCAUAACCUAUUGGUCGCUGGUUCAAAUCCAGCCUCCGCAACCA
rnacentral:tRNA from 1 species